GACGAACGCUGGCGGCGUGCUUAACACAUGCAAGUCGAACGGAAAGGCCCUGCUUUUGUGGGGUGCUCGAGUGGCGAGCGGGUGAGUAACGCGUGAGUAACCUGCCCUUGACUUUGGGAUAACUUCAGGAAACUGGGGCUAAUACCGGAUAGGAGCUCCUGCUGCAUGGUGGGGGUUGGAAAGUUUCGGCGGUUGGGGAUGGACUCGCGGCUUAUCAGCUUGUUGGUGGGGUAGUGGCUUACCAAGGCUUUGACGGGUAGCCGGCCUGAGAGGGUGACCGGCCACAUUGGGACUGAGAUACGGCCCAGACUCCUACGGGAGGCAGCAGUGGGGAAUAUUGCACAAUGGGCGGAAGCCUGAUGCAGCAACGCCGCGUGCGGGAUGACGGCCUUCGGGUUGUAAACCGCUUUCGCCUGUGACGAAGCGUGAGUGACGGUAAUGGGUAAAGAAGCACCGGCUAACUACGUG
rnacentral:rRNA from 1 species